rnacentral:rRNA from 1 species
UCAAGUGAAUAAGCGCAUGUGGUGGAUGCCUUGGCGGCAUAAGGCGAUGAAGGACGUAGUAGUCUGCGAUAAGCUUCGGUAAGCUGACAAACAAGCUUUGACCCGGAGAUUUCCGAAUGGGAAAACCCACUCUACAUAAGUAGAGUAUCUCCAUCUGAAUUUAUAGGAUGGNAGAGGCAAACCUGGAGAACUGAAACAUCUUAGUAACCAGAGGAAAAGAAAUCAAUUGAGAUUUCCUUAGUAGCGGCGAGCGAAACGGAAAUAGUCCAGUCACUGAAUCCAAAUGAUAUUAGUAAAACAACCUGGGAAGGUUGGCCAUAGAAGGUGAUAGCCCUGUAUACGAAAAUUGANUUUGGUGGGUGACGAUGAGUAGAGCGGGACACGUGGUAUCUUGCUUGAACAUGGGGGGACCAUCCUCCAAGACUAAAUACUCUAUGCCGACCGAUAGUGAACUAGUACUGUGAAGGAAAGGCGAAAAGAACCCCGGUUAGGGGAGUGAAAUAGAACCUGAAACCGUAUGCGUACAAGCAGUGGGAGCCCCUUGUGGGUGACUGCGUACCUUUUGUAUAAUGGGUCAGCGACUUACAUUUAGUAGCAAGCUUAACUUUAAUAAGGUAGGCGAAGGGAAACCGAGUCUUAAUAGGGCGUUUAGUUUCUAGGUGUAGACCCGAAACCGAGUGAUCUAUCCAUGGCCAGAGUGAAGGUGGGGUAAUUCCUACUGGAGGCUCGAACCCACUUAUGUUGAAAAAUGAGGGGAUGAGCUGUGGAUUGGAGUGAAAGGCUAAUCAAACUCGGAGAUAGCUGGUUCUCCGCGAAAGCUAUUUAGGUAGCGCCUCGUGUAUUACUAUUGGGGGUAGAGCACUGUUAUGGCUAGGGGGACAUCCCGUCUUACCAAACCAUUGCAAACUCCGAAUACCAAUAAGUAGAGCACGGGAGACACACUGCGGGUGCUAACGUCCGUAGUGGAGAGGGAAACAACCCAGACCAACAGCUAAGGUCCCAAAAUUAUGACUAAGUGGAAAACGAAGUGGGAAGGCCUAGACAUCCAGGAGGUUGGCUUAGAAGCAGCCAUCCUUUAAAGAAAGCGUAACAGCUCACUGGUUGAGUCGGCCUGCGCGGAAGAUUUACCGGGGCUAAGUCAUAUACCGAAGCUUUGGAUCCUAGUUUACUAGGAUGGUAGCGGAGCGUUCUGUAAGUCAAUGAAGGUGUAUCGUGAGGUAUGCUGGAGAUAUCAGAAGUGCGAAUGCUGACAUAAGUAACGAUAAUGUAGGUGAGAACCCUACACGCCGAAAACCCAAGGUUUUCUCCGCAACGUCAAUCGGCGGAGAGUUAGUCGGUACCUAAGGCGAGGCCGAAAGGCGUAGUCGAUGGAAAACAGGUUAAUAUUCCUGUACCGCUUUUAACUGCGAUGGAGAGACGGAGAAGGUUAGAUCAGCCAGUCAACGGUUAUACUGGUGUAAGUAUGUAGAAUUUAUCCUUAGGCAAAUCCGGGGAUAUUUAUUUCGAGAUACGAAUGCGAAGCUUUUUCUUCGGAAUUAGCGAAGUGGUCGAUACCAUACUUCCAAGAAAAUCUUCUAAGCUUCAGGUUAAAAGUGGCCGUACCCUAAACGGACACACGUGGGUGGGAUGAGAAUUCUAAGGCGCAUGAGAGAACUCAGUUGAAGGAACUAGGCAAAAUGAUACCGUAACUUCGGGAGAAGGUAUGCCUUUUGUAUGUGAUGCCACUUGCUGGCUGAGCAGAAGAAGGUUGCAAUAAAAUGAUGGCUGCGACUGUUUACUAAAAACACAGCACUCUGCAAACUUGAAAAAGGAAGUAUAGGGUGUGACGCCUGCCCGGUGCCGGAAGGUUAAUUGAUGGGGUUAGCUUGCUUGCAAGCGAAGCUCUUGAUCGAAGCCCCGGUGAACGGCGGCCGUAACUAUAACGGUCCUAAGGUAGCGAAAUUCCUUGUCGGGUAAGUUCCGACCUGCACGAAUGGCGUAACGA